UGGGGAAUUUUGGACAAUGGGCGAAAGCCUGAUCCAGCAAUGCCGCGUGUGUGAAGAAGGCCUUCGGGUUGUAAAGCACUUUUGUCCGGAAAGAAAUCCUUGGCUCUAAUACAGUCGGGGGAUGACGGUACCGGAAGAAUAAGCACCGGCUAACUACGUGCCAGCAGCCGCGGUAAUACGUAGGGUGCAAGCGUUAAUCGGAAUUACUGGGCGUAAAGCGUGCGCAGGCGGUUUGCUAAGACCGAUGUGAAAUCCCCGGGCUCAACCUGGGAACUGCAUUGGUGACUGGCAGGCUAGAGUAUGGCAGAGGGGGGUAGAAUUCCACGUGUAGCAGUGAAAUGCGUAGAGAUGUGGAGGAAUACCGAUGGCGAAGGCAGCCCCCUGGGCCAAUACUGACGCUCAUGCACGAAAGCGUGGGGAGCAAACAGGAUUAGAUACCCUGGUAGUCCACGCCCUAAACGAUGUCAACUAGUUGUUGGGGGAUUCAUUUCCUUAGUAACGUAGCUAACGCGUGAAGUUGACCGCCUGGGGAGUACGGUCGCAAGAUUAAAACUCAAAGGAAUUGACGGGGUCAUA
rnacentral:rRNA from 1 species